rnacentral:rRNA from 1 species
AGACAGCAGUCGCCACGGAAUACGAAGGGGGCUAGCGUUGUUCGGAAUUACUGGGCGUAAAGCGCACGUAGGCGGACAUUUAAGUCAGGGGUGAAAUCCCGGGGCUCAACCCCGGAACUGCCUUUGAUACUGGGUGUCUAGAGUAUGGAAGAGGUGAGUGGAAUUCCGAGUGUAGAGGUGAAAUUCGUAGAUAUUCGGAGGAACACCAGUGGCGAAGGCGGCUCACUGGUCCAUUACUGACGCUGAGGUGCGAAAGCGUGGGGAGCAAACAGGAUUAGAUACCCCCGUAGUCCCUGUCUCUUAUACA